UAGUGAUUAUGCUCUUUAAGGUAACACCCGUUUCCAUUCCGAACACGAAGGUUAAGCUUUUAGAGGCCGAUAGUACUGCAUAGGGAACUGUGUGGGAGGGUAGGUGGUUGCUAGGUU
rnacentral:rRNA from 1 species